rnacentral:rRNA from 1 species
GGCAACAGCUCAAAUUUGAAAUCUGGCCCUAGGCCCGAGUUGUAAUUUGUAGAGGAUGUUUCUGGUGCGGUGCCUUCCGAGUUCCCUGGAACGGGACGCCAUAGAGGGUGAGAGCCCCGUCCGGUCGUGCGCUAAGCCUAUGUGAAACUCCUUCGACGAGUCGAGUAGUUUGGGAAUGCUGCUCUAAAUGGGAGGUAUACGUCUUCUAAAGCUAAAUACCGGCCAGAGACCGAUAGCGCACAAGUAGAGUGAUCGAAAGAUGAAAAGCACUUUGAAAAGAGGGUUAAAUAGUACGUGAAAUUGCUGAAAGGGAAGCGCUUAUGACCAGACUUGGGCUAGGUUAAUCAUCCGGCGUUCUCGCCGGUGCACUUUGCCUGUCCAGGCCAGCAUCAGUUCACGUCGGGGGAUAAAGGCGUCGGGAAUGUGGCUCCCUCGGGAGUGUUAUAGCCCGGCGUGUAAUACCCUGACGAGGACUGAGGUACGCGCUCCGCAAGGAUGCUGGCGUAAUGGUCAUCAGCGACCCGUCUUGAAACACGGACCAAGGAGUCGUCUUCGUAUGCGAGUGUUCGGGUGUCAAACCCCUACGCGUAAUGAAAGUGAACGUAGGAGAGAGCUUCGGCGCAUCUCCGACCGAUCCUGAUGUUCUCGGAUGGAUUUGAGUAAGAGCAUACGGGGCCGGACCCGAAAGAAGGUGAACUAUGCCUGUAUAGGGUGAAGCCAGAGGAAACUCUGGUGGAGGCUCGCAGCGGUUCUGACGUGCAAAUCGAUCGUCAAAUAUGGGCAUGGGGGCGAAAGACUAAUCGAACCUUCUAGUAGCUGGUUUCC